rnacentral:rRNA from 1 species
AGUGAACGCUGGCGGUAGGCCUAACACAUGCAAGUCGAACGGCAGCACAGGAGAGCUUGCUCUCUGGGUGGCGAGUGGCGGACGGGUGAGGAAUACAUCGGAAUCUACUCUGUCGUGGGGGAUAACGUAGGGAAACUUACGCUAAUACCGCAUACGACCUACGGGUGAAAGCAGGGGACCUUCGGGCCUUGCGCGAUUGAAUGAGCCGAUGUCGGAUUAGCUAGUUGGCGGGGUAAAGGCCCACCAAGGCGACGAUCCGUAGCUGGUCUGGGAGGAUGGUGCGCCAGACUGGGACGGAGAGACGGUCCAGGAGCGUUCGGGGGGCAGCGGUGGGGAAUAUUGGACAAUGGGCGCAAGCCUGAUCCAGCCAUACCGCGUGGGUGAAGAAGGCCUUCGGGUUGUAAAGCCCUUUUGUUGGGAAAGAAAUCCAGCUGGCUAAUACCCGGUUGGGAUGACGGUACCCAAAGAAUAAGCACCGGCUAACUUCGUGCCAGCCGCCACAGUAA